rnacentral:rRNA from 1 species
AGAGAGAGACAUGCGCGCAUAUCAAUAAGCGGAGGAAAAGAAACUAACAAGGAUUCCCUUAGUAACGGCGAGUGAAGCGGGAAGAGCUCAAAUUUGAAAUCUUCAAGGUUUUACCUUGACGAAUUGUAGUUUAAAGAAGUGUUUUCUGCUGAAGUUUUGGUAAAAGUUCUUUGGAAUAGGACAUCAUAGAGGGUGAGAAUCCCGUAUUUGACCAUUAUUUUCAGCUUUGUGAUACACUUUCAAAGAGUCGGAUUGUUUGGGAAUGCAGUCCAAAAUGGGUGGUAAAUUUCAUCUAAAGCUAAAUAUUGGCGAGAGACCGAUAGCGAACAAGUACCGUGAGGGAAGAUGAAAAGAACUUUGAAAAGAGAGUUAAACAGUACGUGAAAUUGUCAAAAGGGAAGCGUUUGACACCAGUGUUGUUUUCUCGAAAAUCAAUUAAAAAUGGCUCGAUUUUGUAUUGCUUGAGACCUUAAAAGCUCACUGUACAUUUUUCGUGUCUUUUUUAAUGCACUUUUCGUUUAACAAGUCAACAUCAGUUUCUUUUGUUGUAAAAGGGUCAUUGGAAGGUGGCUUUCUUUUCGGAGAAAGUGUUUAUAGCCUUUGGCCUCUGCAAUCGGAGAGACUGAGGUCUGCAGCGUAGGACUCUUCGGGGUUAGAUACAUUUGUGCUAAGUUAUAGCUUUUUAUAGACAACUUGUUGACUAUAAUUAGUCUUGUAGCUUACUCGCUUAUGCUAUUUUACCUACGCUUAGGAUGUUGAAGAUGUAGCACAUCAU